CCUACGGGGAGCAGCAGUGGGGAAUAUUGGACAAUGGGCGAAAGCCUGAUCCAGCCAUGCCGCGUGUGUGAAGAAGGCCUUCGGGUUGUAAAGCACUUUCAGUGGGGAAGAAAGCCUUGGGGCUAAUACCCUCGAGGAAGGACAUCACCCACAGAAGAAGCACCGGCUAACUCCGUGCCAGCAGCCGCGGUAAUACAGAGGGUGCGAGCGUUAAUCGGAAUUACUGGGCGUAAAGCGCGCGUAGGCGGUCUGAUAAGCCGGUUGUGAAAGCCCCGGGCUCAACCUGGGAACGGCAUCCGGAACUGUCAGGCUAGAGUGCAGGAGAGGAAGGUAGAAUUCCCGGUGUAGCGGUGAAAUGCGUAGAGAUCGGGAGGAAUACCAGUGGCGAAGGCGGCCUUCUGGACUGACACUGACGCUGAGGUGCGAAAGCGUGGGUAGCAAACAGGAUUAGAUACCCGUGUAGUC
rnacentral:rRNA from 1 species